rnacentral:lncRNA from 1 species
UUUUUAUACUCUUUUUUUCAAAAAACAUGUUUUCAUUAUUAACUUUGCAACCUACAUUGUGUUAAUGGCAUAAAUUUGGUUUUGUCCUUACAGGAUAAGAUGAUGAUGGAGCUUCAUUCAAAAGGUGUAACUAUUGAAGAGAUUGAAGAGGUUCUCCAUAGGAUUCCUAUUCACCCCAGAGUGAUACCUGCUAUUAAAGCAGCUCAUGCUUUAGGGUAUGUAUCAAUUUCCUCCCCUCAAACAAAGUUCUAAUUUUUUUAAUCUUCUUCCUAUAUUUUAUGUGGGAUGAAAUUAAUGGUUGAUUUUUUGUUUUUGUUUUCAGGUGUGAUUUGAGGAUUGUGAGUGAUGCAAACAUGUUUUUCAUUGAGACAAUUUUGGAGCACUUAAAAAUAAAGGAAUACUUCUCAGAGAUUAACACUAACCCUGGUUAUGUUGAAGAAGGAAGGUUAAGAAUUUUGCCUUAUCAUGAUUUCAAUAAGGCUCCCCAUGGCUGCUGCGGUUUGUGUCCUCCAAACAUGUGCAAGGUAUAAUCUUCUCAUCCAUGCCCCUUGAUUUCUUUUUUAAAAUUUGUUUUUUUUUUUGAAAAUGAAAGAAAUAUUAUUACUAAGAAAGAUCAAACCCAAUGUCAAGACACACCAGCCGGCAAAGUACAGAGGCCAAUAAUUUGAGCAAACAAAACCCACCACCAACCCGCAAAGUGGCAUCAACGGUAUCCCAAACAAGGGCCUCAUUAAAACCUUACUGGGUAAACCCAGUGGGAAAAACCCCAGUAAAGAAAAAGAGUACCACAAGCCACCAAUUGUCAACUAAUUCAUCAUUUUUAUUGAAAAUAUUUCAGGGUUUAAUCAUAGACAGAAUCCAAGAUUCAUUUUCUCAAGAUGAUGACAAGAAAAUCAUAUACCUUGGCGAUGGGGCUGGGGACUAUUGCCCAAGCUUGAUGCUUAAUCAGAGAAAUUUCAUGAUGCCAAGGAAGAAUUUUCCUGUGUGGGACUUAAUAUGCAAAGACCCUUCACUUCUUAAAGCUGAAAUCCAUGGUUGGACUGAUGGAGAAGAAUUGGAGCAAGUUCUGUUGCAGUUGAUCAGCCAAAUUUCUAUGGAGAAAGAUGCUCUGUUUAUGUCAUCUGACUGCAAAACACAGACUCUUUUGAUCUCUGCUCAUGAGCCUUUGCCUAAAGUUCUUCAUGUUCGACCAUAAAUUCUUAGUUUUAGAAUUGCUGCAAAUGCAUCAUAACUUUAGUUUGUCUUCCCCCUUCUAAUUACCCUAAAUCAACGCUUCCAAAAGUUACUAGUCUUGGAAUGGUCCAAGAUGGAAGUGUAAAAUUUCUAUCUAAUACAAACAUGAGUUUGCUCUUGAGUCUUGAUGGUGCGAGUUGUUUUUAUUCUUAUUAGGUAAGGUAAGCGAUAAAUUUAAUUUAAUUUUUUGGUAGAAAGGCACGAGCUAGAUGACAGGUGAGAGAAGUUAUUCCUAAAUGGUGCAAUUUAUAUUUUCUAACGUUAAACAAAAUAAGUUUUGUCUCACCUUACCUAGGUGACAAAGUGCCACAAUUACCUAGUUCAUCAAUCAUACAAGGAUUCUAAAUUUAAUCAAUUAUUUAAAAAUGUAAAUUGAUUAUUUCAAUAACAAUUAGUAUUAAUUUUUAUAUUUUGCACCUUUAAAAUCACAUUGUCACUUUAAAAAACAAAAUAAGCUAUUAAAACCAUUGAUUGAAAAAUCAAUGGUAGAAAUUUAAAACACUCAAAGUUUGUUAUACAUGUGACAAGUAUAGGGUUACUGUCACAAAAUUAUUUUACCUUCUAAUUUCUAAAGUUAAGAAAUGGAUUCAAAAAUUGAGAAAUAGAUUGUCACAACUUUUGGUAGAUGGGGCUCGAGAUGGUUAUGUGAGAAGAGGAUUUGAGAAUGUUUGUAUAAUGGUCAUGGGAAGGAUACAGGGGCUUUUGGAUUAUGUUCAUGUUUCUAGGUUUUAGGAUGGAGGAUGAUUAUGAAGAUGAUAGAUGGAAGANAAAAAUCCAUGUGAGAUAAGUGAGAUGAUGCAGAGGUGUUGAAUAGUGUAAAUUAAAAAGAUUCAGUUUAUACAUGUUCAACGUGUGAGAAACAAUACGGCGGAAGCGUCUCUGUAUUUGGAUGAAAUUAGCUCAUCAUAAAUCCAACAUGAUCCCUCUCACAAAGUGAGGGAUGAAAACAUUUUUUUUAAAGAACAAUUUUUAUUAACAUAGUAGAGCUUGAGACCAUCCCUCUCAAGUAGGAAAAUAGCUAUUCAAACAUAGUAAGAGAGCUACAAACGGGCUGGUACAACAAGGCUCCACAAAGGGUGUGCACUACAACCCUCUUUUGCUAAAUGAUCAGCUAAAUCAUUUGAUUCUCUAAAGGCAUGUACAACCCCAACACAAGAAACCUCUCAGAUGAGCACAUCAAUCACCCUUAGAUUAGGCAGCAGCUUUAGGGGUCUAUUGGUCUUACACCCAACCCAUCUAGUGAGGAAUCACUUUCAAUGAUAACAAAACUAAGGGAGAAUUGUCUACAUAAUUUCAAAGUUGAUAAAAUAGCUCUAACCUUCACUUCGUAUGCCCAGGCGGAACCAAUGUCUAGGGAUGGAAACAUUUUUAAGCCUUAACAAAUUAAUAUUUUAGGCAAGUAGUUUAUUGUUAUUAUUGGUAAAUUAAAUCAUUUAUUUAUUUUUAUCAUUAGUUAAUUAUAUAAGUAGCAAAAUAGUUUUAGGUGAGUAAUACAAAGUGAUAGGAAGAAAAUCAUCUAAAUUUAUAUUUUAUCGUAUCAUAUGCCGGAAAAAAAAAACAGAAUACAUGAGAUAUGAUUAAUUUGUUAUAUCUCAUCUUAUAAUUUUGCCACCAAGUGAGCUUUUAAGGGUGUGUUUCGUGGCCACCAUAUUGUAAAAGAGUUGAAUAAGAAUAAGAUAAGAUAAGAAGAUAGAACACUGUUAUCUUAUUUUGUGUUUGAGUUCGAUCGAAUAAUAAUAUAAUAUUCUUUUAAAAAAAUAAAAAAAUAUUAAUAAUGAGAAAUUAGUCAAAUUACUCUCACAGUAAAAAAUACUACUCCAAAUAUGAUACUCCAAAUUUUUAGUGUUAAACCGCAAUUAAGACUAAAGAUAUGUGGGGCUAGCGAUUACUAGACACUACAAAUCAUUUAAUUGAAAUUUCUUCUUAAUUGAAUUGUUCAUGAAUUCAGCAUAGAAAAUUAAAUUACCCAAUUUUCAUAGUGCUAAUUUUGUAUGGAAACCGUAAGUUUCAAAAAAAAAAUGUAUGGAAACCGUACUAUACCCAGAAUAUUCUUUUUGGGCCGUUCCCGGUGGUGGAUUUCCCAGUCACAAUAGGUGGCCACCGAAACCUAAUUCCAUUCCAUUUAAAUCUCCUCUCGAAUAUUCCACUUUAUUUACGCAUUCUAUUAUCAUGGCCAAAACCUUCCACACCCUCCGAUCCUCUUAUCAACUUCAAUUUCAUCAUAUCCAACGGCUGAGAUAAAACUUAAAAUGCCAAAAAAAGCAUAAGAGUUCUGAUAAGUUUAUUCUAAGAAUAAAAUCUAAUAAAGGCAGUUUCAUAUUUUAAUGGCCUCUUCUUUUACGAGAAACUACUAGCCAUAUGCUAUGUAACGCAACGUAAUAUUCCUUGGGAAUCAAAUAUUCUCUCUUGGUUUUUUGGGUGCUGACUUCACCAAUGUUCACUAUAAAUACCCUUUACUCCAUGGUUGAAAAAUCCAAGCCUAUAACCGAUUUUGAGAGCACUGCAAGAUAGAUUACUUCUUCUGUGUCAUUGAAGUUUUUGCCAUUCUCUUUUUCAUCCCCAACAAAAAUAUGUCUGGAAUUGUGGUGGUUUUUGACUUUGACAAGACCAUUGUCGAUUGUGACAGUGAUAACUGGGUUGUUGACGAGUUGGGUUUCACCGAUUUGUUUAAUCAGCUCCUUCCCACCAUGCCUUGGAACUCCCUUAUGGUAAGCUUUUGAUUUUCUUCUAAUUUGUUAUUCUGAUUUUUGGGAUCAUGUGCUUUGUUUUUAUUGAUACUGUUUUGUUGAUAAAUUUGGUUUUGAAUUUACAGGACAGGAUGAUGAUGGAGCUUCAUUCAAAGGGUGUAACUAUUAAGGAGAUUGAAGAGGUUCUGCAUAGGAUUCCUAUUCACCCCAGAGUGAUACCUGCUAUUAAAGCAGCU